rnacentral:rRNA from 1 species
GGGGGACUGCCCCGGACAACGGGGAGGAAGGUGGGGAUGACGUCAAGUCCGCAUGCUCCUUACGUCUAGGGCUACACACGUCCUACAAUGGGGUCGACAGUGGGAUGCAAAGCCGCGAGGUGGAGCCAAUCCCCAAACGGCCUCUCAGUUCGGAUAGUAGUCUGCAACUCGACUACUUGAAGUCGGAAUCGCUAGUAAUGGCGGAUCAGCAUGCCGCCGUGAAUACGUUCCCGGGUCUU